AUAUUGGACAAUGGGGGCAACCCUGAUCCACCCAUGCCGCGUGUGUGAAGAAGUUCUUCGGAUUUUAAAGCACUUUAAGUUGGGAGGAUGGGCUUUAGGUUUAUACCCUGAAAUUUUUAUGUUACCAACAGAAUAAGCACCGCCAAACCCUGUGCCAGCAGCCGCGGUAAUACAUAGUGUGCAAGCGUUAAUCGGAAUGACUGGGCGUAAAGCGCGCGUAGGUGGUUCAGUAAGAUGGGUGUGAAAUCCCCGGGCUUAACCUGGGAACUGCUUUCAUAACUGCUGAGCUAGAGUACGGUAGAGGGUAGUGGAAUUUCCUGUGUAGCGGUGAAAUGCGUAGAUAUAGGAAGGAACACCAGUGGCGAAGGCGACUACCUGGACUGAUACUGACACUGAGGUGCGAAAGCGUGGGGAGCAAAC
rnacentral:rRNA from 1 species